CCUACGGGUGGCAGCAGUGAGGAAUAUUGGUCAAUGGACGAGAGUCUGAACCAGCCAAGCAGCGUGAAGGAAGACUGCCCUAUGGGUUGUAAACUUCUUUUAUAUGGGAAUAAAAUGUUCCACGUGUGGGAUUUUGUAUGUACCAUAUGAAUAAGGAUCGGCUAACUCCGUGCCAGCAGCCGCGGUAAUACGGAGGAUCCGAGCGUUAUCCGGAUUUAUUGGGUUUAAAGGGAGCGUAGGUGGAUUGUUAAGUCAGUUGUGAAAGUUUGCGGCUCAACCGUAAAAUUGCAGUUGAAACUGGCAGUCUUGAGUACAGUAGAGGUGAGCGGAAUUCGUGGUGUAGCGGUGAAAUGCUUAGAUAUCACGAAGAACUCCGAUGGCGAAGGCAGUUCACUGGACUGCAACUGACACUGAGGCUCGAAAGUGUGGGUAUCAAACAGGAUUAGAUACCCCUGUAGUC
rnacentral:rRNA from 1 species